rnacentral:rRNA from 1 species
CUUAACACAUGCAAGUCGAGGGGCAGCAUGGUCUUAGCUUGCUAAGGCCGAUGGCGACCGGCGCACGGGUGAGUAACACGUAUCCAACCUGCCGUCUACUCUUGGACAGCCUUCUGAAAGGAAGAUUAAUACAAGAUGGCAUCAUGAGUCCACAUGUUCACAUGAUUAAAGGUAUUCCGGUAGACGAUGGGGAUGCGUUCCAUUAGAUAGUAGGCGGGGUAACGGCCCACCUAGUCUUCGAUGGAUAGGGGUUCUGAGAGGAAGGUCCCCCACAUUGGAACUGAGACACGGUCCAAACUCCUACGGGAGGCAGCAGUGAGGAAUAUUGGUCAAUGGGCGAGAGCCUGAACCAGCCAAGUAGCGUGAAGGAUGACUGCCCUAUGGGUUGUAAACUUCUUUUAUAAAGGAAUAAAGUCGGGUAUGCAUACCCGUUUGCAUGUACUUUAUGAAUAAGGAUCGGCUAACUCCGUGCCAGCAGCCGCGGUAAUACGGAGGAUCCGAGCGUUAUCCGGAUUUAUUGGGUUUAAAGGGAGCGUAGAUGGAUGUUUAAGUCAGUUGUGAAAGUUUGCGGCUCAACCGUAAAAUUGCAGUUGAUACUGGAUAUCUUGAGUGCAGUUGAGGCAGGCGGAAUUCGUGGUGUAGCGGUGAAAUGCUUAGAUAUCACGAAGAACUCCGAUUGCGAAGGCAGCCUGCUAAGCUGCAACUGACAUUGAGGCUCGAAAGUGUGGGUAUCAAACAGGAUUAGAUACCCUGGUAGUCCACACGGUAAACGAUGAAUACUCGCUGUUUGCGAUAUACUGCAAGCGGCCAAGCGAAAGCGUUAAGUAUUCCACCUGGGGAGUACGCCGGCAACGGUGAAACUCAAAGGAAUUGACGGGGGCCCGCACAAGCGGAGGAACAUGUGGUUUAAUUCGAUGAUACGCGAGGAACCUUACCCGGGCUUAAAUUGCAGAUGAAUUACGGUGAAAGCCGUAAGCCGCAAGGCAUCUGUGAAGGUGCUGCAUGGUUGUCGUCAGCUCGUGCCGUGAGGUGUCGGCUUAAGUGCCAUAACGAGCGCAACCCUUGUUGUCAGUUACUAACAGGUUCUGCUGAGGACUCUGACAAGACUGCCAUCGUAAGAUGUGAGGAAGGUGGGGAUGACGUCAAAUCAGCACGGCCCUUACGUCCGGGGCUACACACGUGUUACAAUGGGGGGUACAGAGGGCCGCUACCACGCGAGUGGAUGCCAAUCCCAAAAACCUCUCUCAGUUCGGACUGGAGUCUGCAACCCGACUCCACGAAGCUGGAUUCGCUAGUAAUCGCGCAUCAGCCACGGCGCGGUGAAUACGUUCCCGGGCCUUGUACACACCGCCCGUCAAGCCAUGGGAGCCGGGGGUACCUGAAGUGCGUAACCGCGAGGAGCGCCCUAGGGUAAAACUGGUGACUGGGGCUAAGUC